UUCGGUUGAUCCCGCCGGAGGCUACCGCUAUUGGAGUUCGAUUAAGCCAUGCGAGUCGCGAGAAAUUAGAUUCUCGGCGUACCGCUCAGUAACACGUGGGUAACCUGCCCUAUGCUGGAUAAUAACCUCGGGAAACUGAGAAUAAUGAUCCAUAGUUCACUACGCCUGGAACGGUGAGUGGAUGAAAGCUCCGGCGGCAUAGGAUGGGCCUGCGGCGUAUCAGGUUGUAGGGGGUGUAACGUACCCUCUAGCCCUCUACGCGUACGGGUGUUGGGAGACAUAGCCCGGAGAUGGAUUCUGAGACACGAAUCCAGACCCUACGGGGUGCAGCAGGCGCGAAAACUUGGCAAUGCGAGAAAUCGUGACCAGGGAACUCCAAGUGCAUGGGGUAAGACCCAUGCUUUUCUUGACUCUAAAUAGGUCUUGGAAUAAGGGGUGGGUAAGGACGGUGCCAGCCGCCGCGGUAAUACCGGCGCCUCAAGUGGUAGUCGCUUUUAUUGGGCCUAAAACGUCCGUAGCCGGUCUGAUACAUUCGUGGGUAAAUCAACCAGCUUAACUGGUUGAAUUCUGCGAGGACGGUCAGACUUGGGACCGGGAGAGGUGUGGGGUACGCUCAGGGUAGGGGUAAAAUCCUGUCAUCCUGAGCGGACCACCUGUUGCGAAGGCGCCACACUAGAACGGAUCCGACGGUCAGGGACGAAGCCUAGGGGCACGAACCGGAUUAGAUACCCGGGUAGUCCUAGGUGUAAACGCUGUGGACUUGAUGUUGGGGGUGCUCCGAGCACUCUCAGUGUCGAAGCGAAGGUGAUAAGUCCACUGCCUGGGAAGUACGGUCGCAAGGCUGAAACUUAAAGGAAUUGGCGGGGGAGCACCGCAACCUGAGGAUUGUGCGGUUUAAUUGGAUUCAACGCCGG
rnacentral:rRNA from 1 species